rnacentral:rRNA from 1 species
ACGGGUGCGUAACGCGUAUGCAACCUACCUCAAUCAGGGGGAUAGCCCGAAGAAAUUCGGAUUAACACCGCAUAAAAACACAGGAUAGCAUUAUCUAAUGUUCAAAUAUUUAUAGGAUUGAGAUGGGCAUGCGUGUCAUUAGCUAGUUGGCGGGGUAACGGCCCACCAAGGCGACGAUGACUAGGGGAUCUGAGAGGAUGACCCCCCACACUGGUACUGAGACACGGACCAAACUCAAACGGGAGGCAGCAGUAAGGAAUAUUGGUCAAUGGAGGCAACUCUGAACCAGCCAUGCCGCGUGCAGGAAGACAGCCCUCUGGGUCGUAAACUGCUUUUAUUCGGGAAUAAACCUUAUUACGUGUAAUAAGCUGAAUGUACCGAAGGAAUAAGGAUCGGCUAACUCCGUGCCAGCAGCCGCGGUAAUACGGAGGAUCCAAGCGUUAUCCGGAUUUAUUGGGUUUAAAGGGUGCGUAGGCGGCUUAUUAAGUCAGGGGUGAAAGACGGUGGCUCAACCAUCGCAGUGCCUUUGAUACUGAUGAGCUUGAAUGAACUAGAGGUAGGCGGAAUGUGACAAGUAGCGGUGA